UGUAGAGGAGGAGCACCCUGUGGAGUCAAGCAUGUUUUAGGCCCCGUACAGCUUGCGCUUAGGAGCAUGUCGGUGUUCUGUGACAUUUGAGCACUAGAUGGCUGCCAUCAGCCUGCCAUUGGAUGUGUGUGGCCAAUGAGCUGAGCAGUCUCCCAGCAUGUGCUGAGGUGGCACUCCCUGCCGGCUGGGGUGACGGCCUGGAAAG
rnacentral:lncRNA from 1 species